AACAAUGGACAGAGAGCAAGAGGAGUAGGAGGAAGAGGAAGAAGAGGACGAGGGCAAAGAAGAGAAGGAAGGAGAGCCAUCUCUGAUGAGAUUAGGGCAACACUUGUUGAUUAUGUGAUCAACCACGGUUUACCAUGAGAGAGGCUUGACUAAGAGUCCAGCCCAAUUUGAGUCGAUUUACAGUGGCGUCCAUAAUUUGAACCUUCAGAAAUGAGAACAGAGUGGAAAUGCAAAGACAUCAUGGAGGACGCUUGUUUACAGAUGUACAAGAGACUGCAAUUAUAAAUAUGGUUUUGGCCAACAAUGCAAUUAGGAUUUGAGAGAUAAGAGAGCAUAACUUGAACAAUGACACCAUAUUUAACAACAUCCAUGCUGUAAGCCUGUCGACUAUACAACGUAUCCUCCAACGGCACCGAGUGACGAAACAACUUUACAAGGUGCCGUUUGAGAGAAACUCUGACAGUCAAGAAUUUGCGACAUGACUUUGUAGAGAGAGCAUUGGAGCUGGAUGCCCAUGUAAUUCGCCAUGAAUUUAUUUAUGUGGAUGAGGUUGGCUUCAACAUCACCAAAACCAGGCGCGGCGGAAGAAAUGUAAUAGGACAGAGGGCAAUUACCAAUGUUCCUGGACAGCGUGGGGGUAAUAUGCUGCCAUCACUCAAAACGGGGUCCUCCAUCACAAUGCCACACUGGGUCCGUACAACACCGGCCAUAUGCUCACUUUUCUGGAUGCUCCUGAUCCAGAUCAGGAGCCUGUUAGAUUUGUGGUUGUAUGGGACAAUGUUAGUUUUCACCAGGCUGUUCUGGUUCAAAACUGGUUUGCCACCCAUCCACAAUUUGUAGUUUUGUACCUACCUCCAUAUUCACCUUUUCUAAAUCCCAUAGAGGAAUUCUUCUCAGCCUGGCGCUGGAAAGUAUAUGAUUGCCAACCCUAUGCCUGCAUGCCGCUUCUCCAGGCAAUGGAGGAUGCAUGUGGGGAUAUAGAGGUUUUCUCCGUCCAAGGUUGGAUACGCCAUGCUAGGAGAUACUUCCCUCGAUGUUUGGCAAGAGAAAACGUAUCU